GUAAAUGUUUUUAUAUGGGAAAAAAUCGCAAAAGAUUCUCCCGGAAGUACUACAAGUCCACUCAGCUUCCUGCUAAUAAUUCAUUUGACUUGGAUAGUGAUUUGGAUGUCCAAGGAGUCAUCAGGAGGAUUUAUUCUGCUAAACAGGACCUAAAAUCAUCGACAUACCUCUCAGACAGUUUCUCUGCACUACAGAGAGUUCAAGAAACGCAUCAACACUUGAAGGAAAUCAGUGAGAUUGUCUGCUUAGGACUCGGACACUUUUCCUGCUGCGCCUCGUCUCGAUAUCAGCUGGCAUUCAUUAGUUUGCUUCAGGAGCACUUCUGCAUCAGUGAUAUCCUCUUUCAAGAUCCUGCUUUCAGCCCUGGUGAAAUAGACAUCAUCAGAAGCCUCAAUUUCACAGUGAUUCCCGGCAAUUUGGAAGGGAAAUUGCACGUUGAUCCUGCCAAGAUCUACCUGUUCUAUCUGCCUCAUUGCCCAAAACAACUUACAAACAACCUCUUGUGGGAAAACUGGGGAAAGCAACUCGCCAAUAUUGUCCUCCUGAGCAACUCCUUCAGUGGAGUCUUGAUUUCUCAGCCGAAAAAGGCUCUUCAGAUCGACGCAGGGUUGAUUUUGAAAGCUGAAGACUUCACAGAAGAGAUUCCAUUGGAGAAUACCUUCACCUACUCGGACGUCUUCAACGACACUUCCAUCCACGUCUUUCCGAAGACUGUCAUAGCGGAGAAACCGGAGAGUUUUUGGGGAGAUAAAGGCUGUGCACCUGUUUAUUGUGAUCCAGAGUUCAUCACUGAAGCCCUAGGGAAAGUACAUUUGAAGGAUGGCGACUCCUGUGCAAACACUGAGAUCUCUGCUGAAUGAGCUGCGCCUGGCAAACCCGAACGGAAACAUAAAGAAUUCACUUGCAGCCAAAUACAUUUUGACGCAGUUCCGGAAGUACAAGACCACAGAUCAAACACUAUGCAA